AUUGAACGCUGGCGGCAUGCCUUACACAUGCAAGUCGAACGGGGGUAGCAAUACCCUAGUGGCGAACGGGUGAGUAAAGCAUCGGAACGUACCCAGUCGUGGGGGAUAACGUAGCGAAAGUUACGCUAAUACCGCAUACGAUCUGAGGAUGAAAGCAGGGGACUUGCAAGAGCCUUGCGCGAUUGGAGCGGCCGAUGUCGGAUUAGCUAGUUGGUGGGGUAAAAGCCUACCAAGGCGACGAUCCGUAGCUGGUCUGAGAGGAUGAUCAGCCACACUGGGACUGAGACACGGCCCAGACUCCUACGGGAGGCAGCAGUGGGGAAUUUUGGACAAUGGGGGAAACCCUGAUCCAGCCAUGCCGCGUGAGUGAAGAAGGCCUUCGGGUUGUAAAGCUCUUUCAGACGGAAAGAAAUGGUCUUGGCUAAUACCCGAGAUCGAUGACGGUACCGUAAGAAGAAGCACCGGCUAACUACGUGCCAGCCGCCGCCGUAACAC
rnacentral:rRNA from 1 species